CCCAGCUGCCGCAGCAUGGAGCGCUCAAGCAAGAUGGAGUUCUUCCAGAAGCUGGGCUACAGCCGGGAGGAUGUGGUCAGGGUGCUGGGCAAACUGGGGGAGGGCGCCCUGGUCAACGACGUGCUGCGGGAGCUGAUCCAGACCGGCAGUCGCCCGGGGGCCGGUGAGGGCAGCGGGGCGCCCCUGCUCGUUCCCAGGGGCUCCUGCGCGGCCCUGGACUCUGUCCAGCGCAGGCCGGUGGCGGAGCUGGAAGAGGACUGCGGAGGCCCCGCCGGUUCCUUGCGACCCAUAGUGAUCGACGGCAGCAACGUGGCAAUGAGCCAUGGAAAUAAAGAAGCCUUCUCUUGCCGGGGAAUCCAGCUGGCUGUGGACUGGUUCAGGGACAGAGGACACACCUACAUCAAAGUUUUUGUCCCAUCCUGGAGGAAAGAUCCACCGAGAUCUGACACCCCUAUUAGAGAGCAGCACGUGCUGGAGGCGCUGGAGAGGCAGGCGGUGCUUGUGUACACCCCGUCCCGCAAGGUGAAUGGCAAGCGGGUGGUCUGCUAUGAUGACCGCUACAUUGUGAAGGUGGCCUACGAGCUGGAUGGGGUCAUCGUCUCCAACGACAAUUACCGCGACCUUCAGAGCGAGAACCCCGAGUGGAAGUGGUUCAUUGAGCAGAGGCUGCUCAUGUUCUCCUUCGUCAACGACCGGUUCAUGCCCCCUGAUGACCCCCUGGGCCGCCGGGGACCCACUCUGAGCAACUUCCUGAGCCGGAAGCCAAAGCCCCCGGAGCCAUCCUGGCAGCACUGCCCCUAUGGCAAGAAAUGCACCUACGGCGUCAAGUGCAAGUUCUACCACCCCGAGAGGCCGCACCUGGCGCAGCUGGCGGUGGCUGACGAGCUGCGAGCGCAGACGCGGGCUUGGCGAGGCGCGGAGGCGGAGCGGCUGAGGGGCGCGCGGGCGGCGGCGGCCGGGGCGGAGCAGGGGGGCCCCCGAGGAGCUUCCGCCGCGACCUGGCCGGGGGCCCCAGAGCCCGGCGCGCGCAGCCUGCCCUCGGCGCGGCUGGAGGCCGACGUGGCGGCGCUCGAAGGCGGCUUCUCGCGGCUCGCCUUCAGCGACGACCCGGGGCUCCUCGGGACGCCUCCUCGGGACGCCGGGCUCACGCUCCAGCCGCGCCGUCCGGAAUGGGUGGCGCGGGGUCCCUCUCCGACCCCGGCAGCCCCGCCUGACCUCCCGAGCCCCCGGGGCCCGUCCGGCCAGCCGACCCGGUCGCGCGGAGGUCACGUCCCGGGUGCCGCGCCCAGUGAGCUGCUCCCCCAGCGCAGAUGGCCCGCCGACGCGCGCGCCCUUCCCCCGGCGGCAGGCCAGUUCCCGGGCCGCUCGGCUUGGGCGGAACGCGGCUGGGGCUACGGCGCCUUCGGGGGACCGUCGGGGUCGCCGCCUCCCUCCGCUCCCAGCGAGGCGGACGCGCGCGCCCGGGCGCGCAUCGCGCUCUGCAGCAUCUUCCCGCCGCACCAGGUGGACAGCGUCAUGGCCAGGUUCCCCGCGCUCUCCGACGUCACCAGGCUCAUCCUUCUCAUCCAGAAAUUCCAAAGGUCUGGUGCGCCUGUGGGAAAAUCCUAAGGAACUCGCCAAUGCCACCGCAAGUGAUGUCCCAGCCUUGCCCUACCACUUGGGCAGGGUGGGUUGUCAGCCUGCUCCUGGGGCGAGCCUUUGUAAAGCCCCCUUUUCUUCAAAGAUGGUCAGGGAAGCCAGCUUCCUCACCCUCAGCUGGGCUCCUGGUGGCACUCGAUGACCCUCCCUGACACUGCAGGGCUUGUUGCUGGAGGUCAAUAAUGUUGGCCCCUUCCGGGAGGGGGUGAUGUCUUAUGUGUGGAAGUCUACAGGUCCCCUGACGGCUCCAAGAGUUUGUCUAGAAACACUCCAUGCCUGUUUUGACAAGCUGCACCUGGGAUCUACAAGGGGGUCACAAAGGUAAUUUUAUGGUUCACACCAGAAAGAGGAAAUCUCAGAGUGCACUGCAAGUAAUCAAGCCAGGUAUGAAACUCCUGUUCGUCAGCUUCAGGUGGGUGCACCUGUAUCCCCUUGGUACCCAUGUAAACCUGAAGUGUGUCCUGGAAAAAGCUUGAAAAAUCCUGGUACAUGGCCUUGAAUUUUAUUGUAUCAAAUCGCAUUUGACAUAUGUAGUCGGUUGGUUGAUGGAGAUUUCAGCAUCUGGAGGUUUUCAGAUGAGCCGUUUCUUACCUCAUGAGGGGAACCUAGAAUUCUAGCCUUGCUGUGUGGGCUCCACUUGUCACUCUGAGAUUGCGAUUGCUGGUCUGUGGGGGCGGGGCAGGGCCAUGGUGUCCUGAGGGUCUGCCCCUGGGGCCUUCAAACCACACACACACACACACACACACACACACACACCCACCCUUCUUGACUCAGGGACUUCCCUCAGGGCAUUUUCCAGCAAGCUCCUCUACUGGCUGAGUUUUCUAAUCUGCCCCUCACACGUGAGCCAAGGCCCAGUGAGUCAGGACUUGGGCCCAGGAACGUUGAGGUGGGUCAGUGAAGAGCUGAGCUGUCCUCAGUCAUGGAGGUUUAUUGGCCCUUUCCACCAUUGCUGUUUCUUCCAGCCAGUUACUGCUUUGAGUUUUGGGGCAAAGGGACCCACCCAUUUGCAAUGGGCAAGAAAUGAGACUGGGCUUCCCCAGUGUGGACCCUGCGUCCUCAGGGGGCCCUGGCAUCUCUAGGGGGCGUCUGCCAUUCACUCUGGGUUACAAGUCCAGUGGGGCAGGUCUUGGCUCAUUUGCUCAUGAGGGCCCUUGGUGGCUGGCUAUCCGGAAGAGUGUGAGGCACCUCCAAGUGGAAAAUCAGCUCCCAAGCCCCCGAAGUUUCCUGCAGACUGGGAGUGCAAAGGGAAACCCUUAGUGCACCACUCAGCUGUGGGCAUUGUUGGCACACACCAGGGUGUACCCCUGGGAGCCAGCCCAGGAGAGUCUGCAUCCAGCCCUCUGACUGACGGUCAAUGCUGCCAGUGGUGACAGAGUGACGUUGUGUCUCCCUGGGACCCCUUUCGUCUUUUUCAACCAGCCUCUUAGCACGCUUCAGCCUGAUCUGCUCUUUACUCCUUUUUCCCCAAAGAGGACACUGCACCCAGAGUUGUGUCUUAUUACCUGGGGACCUCAGUCCUGAAGAAGGUCAACUCUUUCUGGAAAAAUUGGAUUUCCCUCCCGGAAUUUUUUGUUUUUGUUUUCUUUUGGCAAGACAAGCUUUAUGUUAGAGCUGCUUUUGUCUCUCCGAUCUGUCUCCUGAUGUGGCCUUGUUGCAAGGCUGACUUACAGUUGGAAAUGUUUAAACUGCUUCCUUUGAGGACAAGCUUGAGUUUUAGUAAGCUGUAAAGCUAUUUUAUUUGGUUCACUAUGAUUAAGACAAGCACAAAAACAAGUGAAGAGACAGCACAUUUCAGUGUAAUCCCCUUUGGAAUCUUUUCCGAAGUCUUGGUAUGUCUUUAUGACACAAAACAUGGAUGGACGGGUGAGUGAAAAGUUCCUGGUCGCAUAACUGUUACCAUGAUUCAAAAAUAAAUCACUUUUAUCCAUAUCUGGACUGUUACCAAAUUGUAUAUCAUUUUCUCCUGUGUCUGCUUCUCCCCUCAGGUCAGGUUUUCACAUUCAAUAUUGUGGUUAUGAAGACGGAUGUAAUGGCUGCUUUAUGAGGUGUUAUUCCACUGUUGGGGGUCAGAGGCUGGAAUCUACCUUUUCCAGGGGAAACAUCAAGGCCCAAGGCGAGGACAGGCCUUUGCUGGAUUCUCAGUGGGCUAUUUCCAGGGCCUCUAGAAGAAAAGCUACCAAACCCGACGGAGUAUUCGUCCAAGAGCGCACGCAAGUACCGACACUGACCAUUAGGUGUCACUGUUGCACACAACAUGUACUGACCUGGGCUCCAGACGAUUGACAGCGCGCCAACAUGAUCCGCCUCCGACUUUCUGCAUCAUCCCGGGUUCCCAAAAGUCUAGCAGAGUCCGUCCUGAGGCCAGUAAUCAGUCAACCAUUGACGAUGAUUAUAAAAUAUAGGGAAAAUUUACCAAUGCUUUACACCUUGGCAGUUACAACUCUUUAAAAUGUAAAGAGCCAGUAUUUGGAGCAACUGGAAGA